AUGAGUUUCAUUCUGUCUCAGGAAUACUCUAUUUCGUCAAGGAGAAACCCCAUUGUGAGAAGGAGAGGUCAGCGCUCUCUACGAAGACCGAAGCAUGAUGAGAAGGAUUCACCUCUAGCGGGAGCAACACAAACACCAGUGUCAACACUGUUGAAGAAAGCUUCCGAGAAUAUGAAUUCACCAAGUGUAAUGAAUAUUUCAAAGCACCUUAAAAAGGUAAUUCGGGACGAAUAUGAAGUUGAAACUGGUAAUGGGAAGAACUAUUAAAAGGAAAUCAAGAAGCACAGUCAUGUUUGAGGAUCCAAGAAAACUUAAGAGGACAAGUACACCAAAAGUCAAAAGCCCCAGGAGUGUAGUCAAGGGAGAGGGUCAACCACGUCCUUCAAAAAUCGGUGACCGGUUUUCAGAAGGGUCUCUGAAUCCGUAUGCUGAUGAUCCAUAUGCAUUUGAUUAAGGUCAGGAAAGAAACCGCUAUGGUACCUCUUAAAUGCCUCACACACUAGCGGGCAUGUGAUCUGAUCGUGUACAGGAUUUGGUCUUGCGUAUAAGUGGACAUAGAACUAGGGCAAUUUUUACUGAUUUGGAUCAUCAGUUCUGAACUCUUUGUCAAUAUGGGAUUUUGUAAUUAGUUAACAUCACACUCUUUGUACAUAUGGGGAUCUACUCAUUACUGAAAGUGGUACGCACUUGAUCUAUGUGAUCACUGCAA